AAGGCCAACAAGACUGGCAAGAUAGCGGAGGAGCUAGCCAAGCUCAUGAUGAUUUAUGACCUUCAGGAACAACGUAAUGUAAAUAUAAGACGGGCACUCGUCCUUCGUGCUCUUCCUGUGUACCUGCGUGAAGAUGCCUUCAAGUUCUUUAGGACCUGUAAUUCAGCAGAUUGUCCAGACCUCACUGACACU